GCUUGGCCACCGCACAUUUCCAGAAGGAAGCGCGAAGAGACACGACAAGGAAUCCGUGAAAGCAAGACACAAGCACAUAUGUGCAUAUCAAUGAAAAGGGUAAACUGAGGAACAGCAACGACAUCUUCAUCCCCCGUCCACAAAGAAGACCAACGAUGAUGGUGUUGGUGGUGUUUGGGGGGUGGGCGGCGGCGCUUCCGUCCACGCACUCCAGUCCGCCUUCACACUGCCGGCCGCCUCCAUUUCGUACACCGCGCACUUCUCCAUAUCGGACCCCACUCCUCCCAGUGCACACAGAGGCAUUCACCUCACCAUGCAGGCAGACGGAGACGAACGCAUCAACGCCCCUCAUAAGCGUAUCCACGUGAAGGAUGGCCCUCCCAGCAGUGGGCUCGCUGUGCGUGUGUGUCGGGUGUGGCGUGUUCCCGUUGCCGCUGUUCUCGCCGUUUCUUUUGCGGGGCCGUGAUGGCGGGUGAAAGCGGGGGGCGAGGGACAUACACACACCUCUCUCAGCGCGUGGCACCUCAGGGACCAGUGCACCCACUUUCUCUCCGUGGGAGAGCCAGGCAGCCCCCUCCCCCAUCCCCUGCCAAGUGCCGAGCCGCUUCUGGUGGUGACGGGUUCAGGCGCCUACGCCGCAGGGGGGAGGGUUCAGAGCGAUGUGUCGCUGCUGGUGCCGGCGGUGGCGUCCUGGAUGACGUUGCAUCGGAGUGGCCCGCGACAGCGAGGCAGAUCUGUAUCCAUCCACAUGAUGGGCAGAGCGUCAUCGUGACCCGAGCGUCUCCCACCCGGCCCGGCCCUCACACCGCCCACUGGUGUGGGUGGGGUGCCCGAGCGCCACCGCGAGGGGGAUGCGUCCGGUGGCGGCCGGCAUGGUGGGCGCGGCUGCGCGGCGCCCCGCGAAGCAUGGGCUGUGGGCGUGGGCGGGGGCGGGGGCCGUGCUCUCCGAUGGCUGGGUCGGCGCGUUGCUGUGGCGCGUGUGUGUCUACGGCUGCCAUCGGCCCACGCGAGGUUGGGCCUGUGACGGAGGAGGAGGUGUAGACAGGCGUUCGACCUCGUGUUGCAUGGCAGUGACGUGGCCUGUAGGAAGCGGGCAAGGAUUUCAUUUAUGGGGUUUCUCAUUAUCUUUUUCUCUGUUUUGCGUGAGAACGCGUCUCUUGUCAGGUGGCGACUGUGGGUUGUUUUAUGCUUGUCGAUGCUGCCACGCCAUUGUUGUCUGCUGUUGUUGCUCUUGGCGUGGAUGCUAUGAUUACGGUGCACCCUUCGUCUUCUCGGUCUCUGUCUUUUUCUUUGUGGCACACGCGCGUGCCAUGGCUGGCGAUGUAUGUUGUUGUCGUUUUCCCUUCUUCGUAUGGUCGUCAUCACCGCGUCUUUCUUUUUCUGUUGGUGCGUUUCCCCCGCUGCGCAUGGUGGUUGGUGUUGUGGUUGUCGUGAUGUGCACCGUUUCGUUGACUUCGCAUCUCUCUCUCUCUAUAUAUACAUGUAUGCAUGUAUAUAUAUAUAUAUAUAUAUGUGCCUAUCUAUACCUAGAUAUAUACACACACGCGUAUCUAGAUAGAUAUACAUACCGAUAUAUACAUAUAUACAUGCAUAUAUGUAUAUUUCUUCUGUUGUUUUCCCCGGUGCACUUCCUCUUUUGUUUUUGUUUGUCUUUGUCUUGUUCUCUGAAGUGUGUGAGUGUCGGUCUGUCUGUCUGUGUGCGUUCUCUCCCUAUCUCGUUUUUUUUUCUGUUUGUCUAUGUGAAUCGCUCUGCAUGUGUGCGUGCGUGCGCGCUGCGUGUAUCGUUGACGCUUAUGGUGCCGCACGAGAGGGGUAGGAUGGGACAGGCAAGGAAGGAACGUCUCUGGGGCAUUGCUAUUGUGCAGUGAAGGGCGUGGUCACCUUGUCCGAAUUCCACCCCACCCCCCCUUCCCGCUUCCCCCUGUGCUGUCUGUCUCUGUCUGUAUGCGUGCGCCUCUGCGCUUCUCUGUCUGCGUAUGUCUGCGCCUGUGUGUCUGUCUGUGAGCUUUAAGUGCCCCCAUUUUCAUCUCUGUACCCUUCCAUGAAAGAAAGGACACCCAAGCACACCACUCCCUCUCCCGUAAUACAGUAUCUCUAGCUGAGAUACUAAGCACAGACAGACGUACACACACACACACGUAAACACACACACACACACGUAAACACACAGAAGCACACACAUACGCACACACGCGCAGCGAAACGAAAAGGGAACUGCGUGGCGCGUCGUGGAGGUGUACAGCGAGAGGGUGAGCAACCAAAACACGCACACACACACACACACACUCGAGAGAAGCGUGAAGGAAGAGGACGGACGUGUGUGCGUUUUGUGCAAGUUUGCGUAUCGGUCUUCGGGUCUGCAUGACUGAACAGGUGAGCGUUGAACCAAUGCACCCCCGGCAUAGCGCAUCCACCCAAGGGGCCACGCCAGCAUAUGUCUAAUGCAUGCCAGUGAGGCCCAUGCUUUACCUGGCUCACUCUCUUGCCUUCAUUACCUUUUUUUUUGCUAUCUCCCCUUCACGUCUUCGUCGCCUUUGUGACACCCCACGCGCGCGUAUGCACCCGCCUUCACCGCUUCACCUCCCAUCCUCACUCUGCCGUACCUCCCGCCGCUCUCCUUGUUUUUUUUUUCUUUCGGUUUGGCACACGCACGCACUCGCCAUCUGAUGCCCCUCUCAUAUCCGUAUGCCCCCCCUCCCUCCCCAUCCCCCGUUUUUUCGGCCCUCACCGAGUUGCAG
rnacentral:misc_RNA from 1 species